rnacentral:antisense_RNA from 1 species
AGCUAAGUGAUUGAUGGAGCUUCCGGAAGUCUUGGCGGCUGUACCGGCGCUAAUGUUCCUCCUUUUCCUGAGGUGGAGUGGGCCCAAGCGGUGGUCAGGUUUUCUAAUCACAGAAUUACUGGAGCGUCAAGAAGCGCCUGCAUGCUUGGAAGGGCUUCCAGGCAGAUGAACACACCUCAGCACCGGGUGGCAGUUUCCCAGGGUGCAACCCGGACCGGCUCUGGGUCACACUGACAAGCCUCUCCGACUCCCCAGGCUGGGUUGGGUGCUCCUCCCUCUCAUCCCACAGCGCUAUGUCUCAUGUCUUCUGGAAAACUUGCCAAUCCCUAGUGAUAACAAGGAUUAACAAUUUCCAGAGACAGCCCGUACAUAGAGGGAAAGUUUACUGAAAAAAAUGAAGAGGGGUCAGGGCAAGGCGAGGAGCAAGAAGCAUCCCCAAGGAAACAGAGAAGACCAGUACAACUGUACCUCUUUGCCAGCUGCACCAUCCGUACCAGGUGGCACGUUCUAGAGGCCAUAGCCUCUGUUCUGGUCAUCUCCAGUCUCCUGGGGUGGGAGUGUACAGCUCAGAGACUGCCACACUGCAAGACGAAGGGGCUGGAUGGACGGAAGUAAGAGGCGGAACCCUGCACACCCUCGGCCUCAGCCCCACUGAGUCUCCAAUGGGGCCACGCUUCUGAGUGCACCUCCCCCUGUCAUCUGUAAUGUGAGGGGGAACCAGGCUUGAUAUGGCAUUCCCAAUCCAGGGC